rnacentral:rRNA from 1 species
UACGGGGGGGGCAAGCGUUGUUCGGAAUUACUGGGCGUAAAGGGCGCGUAGGCGGCUCAUCAAGUCGGGCGUGAAAUCUCCGGGCUUAACCUGGAAAAGUCGUUCGAUACUGUUGGGCUAGAGUGUGGAAGAGGCUACUGGAAUUCCGUGUGUAGCGGUGAAAUGCGUAGAUAUACGGAGGAACACCUGCGGCGAAGGCGGCAUCCUGGACCGGCAUUGACGCUGAGGCGCGAAAGCCAGGGGAGCAAACGGG